UACGAGGGGGGCAAGUGUUGUUCGGAAUCACUGGGCGUAAAGGGAGCGUAGGCGGAUGUUUAAGUUGGAGGUUUAAAACCGGGGCCCAACCCCGGAGCGGCCUCCAAAACUGGGCAUCUUGAAUGGAACAGAGGCUAGUGGAAUUGGGGGUGUAGCGGUGGAAUGCGUAGAUAUCCGGAGGAACACCAGUGGCGAAAGCGGCCACCUGGACUGUACCUGACGCUCAAACGCGAAAGCUAGGGGAGCGAACGGG
rnacentral:rRNA from 1 species